UGAGCUCGAUGAGUAGGGCGGGACACGUGGUAUCCUGUCUGAAUAUGGGGGGACCAUCCUCCAAGGCUAAAUACUCCUGACUGACCGAUAGUGAACCAGUACCGUGAGGGAAAGGCGAAAAGAACCCCGGCGAGGGGAGUGAAAAAGAACCUGAAACCGUGUACGUACAAGCAGUGGGAGCCUCUUAAUGGGGUGACUGCGUACCUUUUGUAUAAUGGGUCAGCGACUUAUAUUCUGUAGCAAGGUUAACCGAAUAGGGGAGCCGAAGGGAAACCGAGUCUUAACUGGGCGUUAAGUUGCAGGGUAUAGACCCGAAACCCGGUGAUCUAGCCAUGGGCAGGUUGAAGGUUGGGUAACACUAACUGGAGGACCGAACCGACUAAUGUUGAAAAAUUAGCGGAUGACUUGUGGCUGGGGGGGAAAGGCCAAUCAAACCGGGAGAUAGCUGGUUCUCCCCGAAAGCUAUUUAGGUAGCGCCUCGUGAAUUCAUCUCCGGGGGUAGAGCACUGUUUCGGCAAGGGGGUCAUCCCGACUUACCAACCCGAUGCAAACUGCGAAUACCGGAGAAUGUUAUCACGGGAGACACACGGCGGGUGCUAACGUCCGUCGUGAAGAGGGAAACAACCCAGACCGCCAGCUAAGGUCCCAAAGUCAUGGUUAAGUGGGAAACGAUGUGGGAAGGCCCAGACAGCCAGGAUGUUGGCUUAGAAGCAGCCAUCAUUUAAAGAAAGCGUAAUAGCUCACUGGUCGAGUCGGCCUGCGCGGAAGAUGUAACGGGGCUAAACCAUGCACCGAAGCUGCGGCAGCGACACUAUGUGUUGUUGGGUAGGGGAGCGUUCUGUAAGCCUGUGAAGGUGGCCUGUGAGGGUUGCUGGAGGUAUCAGAAGUGCGAAUGCUGACAUAAGUAACGAUAAAGCGGGUGAAAAGCCCGCUCGCCGGAAGACCAAGGGUUCCUGUCCAACGUUAAUCGGGGCAGGGUGAGUCGACCCCUAAGGCGAGGCCGAAAGGCGUAGUCGAUGGGAAACAGGUUAAUAUUCCUGUACUUGGUGUUACUGCGAAGGGGGGACGGAGAAGGCUAUGUUGGCCGGGCGACGGUUGUCCCGGUUUAAGCGUGUAGGCUGGUUUUCCAGGCAAAUCCGGAAAACCAAGGCUGAGGCGUGAUGACGAAGCACUACGGUGCUGAAGCGACAAAUGCCCUGCUUCCAGGAAAAGCCUCUAAGCAUCAGGUAACAUCAAAUCGUACCCCAAACCGACACAGGUGGUCAGGUAGAGAAUACCAAGGCGCUUGAGAGAACUCGGGUGAAGGAACUAGGCAAAAUGGUGCCGUAACUUCGGGAGAAGGCACGCUGAUAUGUAGGUGAAGCGACUUGCUCGUGGAGCUGAAAUCAGUCGAAGAUACCAGCUGGCUGCAACUGUUUAUUAAAAACACAGCACUGUGCAAACACGAAAGUGGACGUAUACGGUGUGACGCCUGCCCGGUGCCGGAAGGUUAAUUGAUGGGGUUAGCGGUAACGCGAAGCUCUUGAUCGAAGCCCCGGUAAACGGCGGCCGUAACUAUAACGGUCCUAAGGUAGCGAAAUUCCUUGUCGGGUAAGUUCCGACCUGCACGAAUGGCGUAAUGAUGGCCAGGCUGUCUCCACCCGAGACUCAGUGAAAUUGAACUCGCUGUGAAGAUGCAGUGUACCCGCGGCAAGACGGAAAGACCCCGUGAACCUUUACUAUAGCUUGACACUGAACAUUGAGCCUUGAUGUGUAGGAUAGGUGGGAGGCUUUGAAGUGUGGACGCCAGUCUGCAUGGAGCCGACCUUGAAAUACCACCCUUUAAUGUUUGAUGUUCUAACGUUGGCCCGUAAUCCGGGUUGCGGACAGUGUCUGGUGGGUAGUUUGACUGGGGCGGUCUCCUCCUAAAGAGUAACGGAGGAGCACGAAGGUUGGCUAAUCCUGGUCGGACAUCAGGAGGUUAGUGCAAUGGCAUAAGCCAGCUUGACUGCGAGCGUG
rnacentral:rRNA from 1 species